rnacentral:rRNA from 1 species
CCUACGGGGUGCUGCAGUCGAGAAUCAUUCACAAUGGGGGAAACCCUGAUGGUGCGACGCCGCGUGGGGGAAUGCAGGUCUUCGGAUUGUAAACCCCUGUCAUGUGGGAGCAAAUUAAAAAGAUAGUACCACAAGAGGAAGAGACGGCUAACUCUGUGCCAGCAGCCGCGGUAAUACAGAGGUCUCAAGCGUUGUUCGGAAUCACUGGGCGUAAAGCGUGCGUAGGCUGUUUCGUAAGUCGUGUGUGAAAGGCGCGGGCUCAACCCGCGGACGGCACAUGAUACUGCGAGACUAGAGUAAGGGAGGGGGAACCGGAAUUCUCGGUGUAGCAGUGAAAUGCGUAGAUAUCGAGAGGAACACUCGUGGCGAAGGCGGGUUCCUGGACAUUAACUGACGCUGAGGCACGAAGGCCAGGGGAGCGAAAGGGAUUAGAUACCCCAGUAGUC